GGCAUUAUGGCUCAGUGGUAGAGCGCUUGCCUAGCAUGUGUGAGGCACCACAUAAAAAUAAAUAAAUAAUGCCA
rnacentral:tRNA from 1 species